AAUGUACCAUAUUGUUCUUGUCUUUUUUAUUUUCUUGGUAUAGCGAGCGCAGCUCGAGGCUCUGGAGUACUAGGUCAUAUUAAAGCGCCUCCACGAUCAGCAACUCUUUCUGGACUAUUCCAUUCCAUCAAGCCGAAGCCUGUUAGGAGCCACAAAGGGCUGAAAUAUAAAGGUGUACAAAAUUUUGAUAUGAUAUACAUAUCAAGAAGAGCGAAAUGCAGAAAUGUCCGCCAGUAAAACUGUAGUUGCAACUAUUGGUGACCCUUCGGUCGGCUCGGUUUGACUAUGUCUUGUGGAAACCAUUUAAAUCCAACAGCGGAGUCCUGCAAAAAAGCAAGUAUUCAGAGGAGUUUGGAGUCUGUAUUCAGAAAAGCAAAUGAGAUAUGCUCUAACUUAUAGUCUUGUAGUCUCUGAGAACUAGGCGCUCAUCGGGACAGA